rnacentral:rRNA from 1 species
GAAUUUUGGACAAUGGGCGAAAGCCUGAUCCAGCAAUGCCGCGUGCAGGAUGAAGGCCUUCGGGUUGUAAACUGCUUUUGUACGGAACGAAAAGCUGUGGGUUAAUACCCUGGAGUCCUGCAGGUACCGUAAGAGUAAGCACCGGCUAACUACGUGCCAGCCGCAGCGGUAAUACGUAGGGUGCAAGCGGUAAUCGUAAUUACUGGGCGUAAAGCGUGCGCAGUCGGUUUUGUAAGACAGAGGUGAAAUCCCCGGGCUCAACCUGGGAACUGCCUUUGUGACUGCAAGGCUAGAGUACGGCAGAGGGGGGUGGAAUUCCGCGUGUAGCAGUGAAAUGCGUAGAUAUGCGGAGGAACACCGAUGGCGACGGCAACCCCCUGGGCCUGUACUGACGCUCAUGCACGAAAGCGUGGGGAGCAAACA